UUUUUGUAAAUAAAAGUUGGACGUAUUUUAUCUUUGUUGUAAAGCACAUAUAUCAGGAAUUUUCCAUUAUUUUUGGAUUCAUCUGAUUAAGCCGACACAUACAACAAGUGCAGUUUAAACCAUCAGCAUUAAAUAAAAUUCAAUGAUUCUUCUAACAAUAUCCAACCAUCCGAUUACCUUGACAUGAAAAUAUUCUUCUCAAAAUACUUUAAAAUACUUAAAUAUAAUAAUUAAUCAACACUGGAAUAAUUGUAAAUUAUGCACGAAUAUGACUGAACCUGGUGGAUUUAAUGAUAAAAUUUAUUGAGGUGAAUUUAUUUCCCUGAGAGUUUAAGACUUUAAUCAAGGCAGGGGGUGAAAUCCAGUGGUGGCAGAACUCACAGAUAUGUAGAUGUCGCGGUGUUGUGACGCAAACGCCCAGAGCUCGAAUCUUCUCU